UACGAAGGGGGCUAGCGUUGCUCGGAAUUACUGGGCGUAAAGCGCACGUAGGCGGCUUGUUAAGUCAGGGGUGAAAUCCUGGAGCUCAACUCCAGAACUGCCUUUGAUACUGGCGAGCUUGAGUUCGGGAGAGGUGAGUGGAACUGCGAGCGUAGAGGUGAAAUUCGUAGAUAUCGGGAGGAACACCUGAGGUGAAGACGGGUUGCUGGGCCGACACUGACGCUGAGUGCGCGAAAGCCAGGGGAGCAAACGGG
rnacentral:rRNA from 1 species